rnacentral:rRNA from 1 species
GACGAACGCUGGCGGCGUGCUUAACACAUGCAAGUCGAACGGAAAGGCCCUGCUUGCAGGGUACUCGAGUGGCGAACGGGUGAGUAACACGUGGGUGAUCUGCCCUGCACUUCGGGAUAAGCCUGGGAAACUGGGUCUAAUACCGGAUAGGAGCCAUUUUUAGUGUGAUGGUUGGAAAGUUUUUUCGGUGUAGGGUGAGCUCGCGGCCUAUCAGCUUGUUGGUGGGGUAAUGGCCUACCAAGGCGGCGACGGGUAGCCGGCCUGGGAGGGUGGACGGCCACAUUGGGACUGGGAUUCGGCCCAGACUCCUACGGGGGGCAGCAGUGGGGAAUAUUGCACAAUGGGCGCAAGCCCGAUGCAGCCACGCCGCGUGGGGGAUGACGGCCUUCGGGUUGUAAACUCCUUUCGCUAGGGACGAAGCUUUUUGUGACGGUACCUAGAUAAGAAGCACCGGCUAACUACGUG